GCAUGCUAGUUGCACGAGUUUAGACUCGUAGCAGAUAGCUCAGUAACACGUGGCCAAACUACCCUACAGAGCGCGAUAACCUCGGGAAACUGAGGCUAAUAGCGCAUACGGCUCUCACGCUGGAACUGCGGAGAGCUCGAAACGCUCCGGCGCUGUAGGAUGUGGCUGCGGCCGAUUAGGUAGACGGUGGGGUAACGGCCCACCGUGCCAGUAAUCGGUACGGGUUGUGAGAGCAAGAGCCCGGAGACGGUAUCUGAGACAAGAUACCGGGCCCUACGGGGCGCAGCAGGCGCGAAACCUUUACACUGCACGUCAGUGCGAUAAGGGGACUCCAGGUGCGAGGGCAUAUAGUCCUCGCUUUUGUACACCGUAAGGUGGUGUACGAAUAAGUGCUGGGCAAGACCGGUGCCAGCCGCCGCGGUAAUACCGGCAGCACAAGUGAUGACCGCUAUUAUUGGGCCUAAAGCGUCCGUAGCUGGCCAGGCAAGUCCGUCGGGAAAUCUCCCCGCCCAACGGGGAGGCGUCCGGUGGAAACUGUCUGGCUUGGGACCGGAAGAUCCAGAGGGUACGUCCGGGGUAGGAGUGAAAUCCCGUAAUCCUGGACGGACCACCGGUGGCGAAGGCGCUCUGGAAAGACGGAUCCGACGGUGAGGGACGAAAGCUCGGGUCACGAACCGGAUUAGAUACCCGGGUAGUCCGAGCUGUAAACGAUGUCUGCUAGGUGUGCCACAGGCUACGAGCCUGUGGUGUGCCGUAGGGAAGCCGUGAAGCAGACCGCCUGGGAAGUACGUCCGCAAGGAUGAAACUUAA
rnacentral:rRNA from 1 species